AAACUGCAUCUAAUCACACAGGUUCGAGCAGCUCCAAAGAGAGGCUCUGCCUCCAUGCGGCUGUCUGUUUGGGAAUCCUGAAUGUUUUACUUUUGGCUGAACUCAUCGCCCUCAGUGUUCACACUCAUCACAUGACAGCAGAUUUUUCUGACAUCAGCAACAUUCUGACCGAGCAGAACAGCAGCAGCGAGUUUCCCUCCAUGAACGCUAACUUCACUGAAACGGCUCCACGAGCUGAAGACACUUUAAGGGAAAUUGUGUCCUACAGAACGAA